GUGGCUGUGGCCAGACAGAGGGAGAUGAAAUGGCUUGACAUGUUCAGAAACUGGGACAAAUGGGUAUCCCGACGCUUUCAAAAGGUUAAAAUGCGCUGCAGAAAAGGAAUCCCCUCAUCGCUCAGAGCUAAAGCCUGGCAGCUGCUUUCCAACAGCCAGGAGCUCCUUGACUCCAAUCCUGGGAAGUUUGAGGAGUUGGAGCAGGAGCAGGGGGAUCCCAAGUGGUUGGACAUCAUAGAGAAGGACUUGCACAGGCAGUUUCCAUUUCACGAGAUGUUUGCUGCUCGCGGAGGACACGGGCAGCAGGACCUGUACCGUAUACUGAAAGCCUACACCGUCUACCGGCCAGAUGAGGGCUACUGUCAGGCCCAGGCUCCAGUGGCUGCGGUGCUGCUCAUGCACAUGCCUGCUGAGCAAGCCUUCUGGUGUCUGGUGCAAAUCUGUGAGAAAUUCUUGCCUGGCUACUACAGUGCUGGUUUGGAAGCGAUCCAGCUGGAUGGAGAGAUUUUUUUCUCUCUUCUGAGGAGAGUGUGUCCCAUGGCCUACCGUCACCUGAAGAAAUUUAAGAUUGACCCUAUACUCUAUAUGACAGAAUGGUUCAUGUGCAUUUUCUCCCGCACACU